rnacentral:rRNA from 1 species
GGCUUAACACAUGCAAGUCGAGGGGGCAGCAUGUCCAACAAUUGGAUGAUGGCGACCGGCGGAAAGGGUGCGUAACGCGUGAGCAACAUGCCCUAUACAGGGAGAUACACCAGGGUAACUUGGUCUAAUAUCCCCUAGCAUUCAUUGAAGGCAUCUUUUAAUGAAUUAAAGCUUCGGUGGUAUAGGAUUGGCUCGCGUGACAUUAGCCAGAUGGUGAGGUAACGGCUCACCAUAGCAAUGAUGUCUAGGGGUUCUGAGAGGAAGGUCCCCCACACUGGAACUGAGACACGGUCCAGACUCCUACGGGAGGCAGCAGUGAGGAAUAUUGGUCAAUGGACGCAAGUCUGAACCAGCCAUGUCGCGUGCAGGAUGACUGCCCUAUGGGUUGUAAACUGCUUUUAUAUUGGAAGAAUUGCGCUUACGAGUUAAGCGUUUGACGGUACAUUAUGAAUAAGGAUCGGCUAACUCCGUGCCAGCAGCCGCGGUAAUACGGAGGAUCCGAGCGUUAUCCGGAUUUAUUGGGUUUAAAGGGUGCGUAGGCGGAAAUGUAAGUCAGUGGUGAAAUCCUGCAGCUUAACUGUAGAAUAGCCGUUGAAACUGUGUUUCUUGAGUACAUUUGAGGUAGGCGGAAUGUGGUGUGUAGCGGUGAAAUGCAUAGAUAUACCACAGAACACCGAUUGCGAAGGCAGCUUACUAAACUGUCACUGACGCUGAUGCACGAAAGCGUGGGUAUCAAACAGGAUUAGAUACCCUGGUAGUCCACGCUGUAAACGAUGAUUAAUGGUUGUUUGCGAUACACUGCAAGUGACUGAGCGAAAGCA